AUUCGGCCUAGACGACGAACGACAAAACUUACAGACUUUAGUCAAAAAUGUCUAUACUGUCAAUAUGAAUUAAGCUAUUUUACGUUAUAUUAUUUACAUUUCAAAAUCAGUGGACUUAAAAAAAAAAACAUUUGACAUUUUUUUAAUUGCUUAAAUUGUGAUUUUAAAUUUCAGUUGCCAUCUAGUGACGUCACCAAAACCGCUCCUACGUGGGAUACAUUUUAUGCCCAUAUAUGGACAAACUUUCAGGGAGGUAAGAACAACAAGAAGAAAAAGUCAAGAACCUCCGAAGAGAAAAAAAGAAACAAAAAAACAUCUUGCACACACCAAAGGAUUAUGGUGAGAGGCCUGCCGACUGAGUGGACUGUGGAACAGACGAUGCCAGCUGGUCCUGGUGGUAGGCGUAGAG